GAAACUGCCUGAUGGAGGGGGAUAACUACUGGAAACGGUAGCUAAUACCGCAUAACGUCGCAAGACCAAAGUGGGGGACCUUCGGGCCUCAUGCCAUCAGAUGUGCCCAGAUGGGAUUAGCUAGUAGGUGGGGUAACGGCUCACCUAGGCGACGAUCCCUAGCUGGUCUGAGAGGAUGACCAGCCACACUGGAACUGAGACACGGUCCAGACUCCUACGGGAGGCAGCAGUGGGGAAUAUUGCACAAUGGGCGCAAGCCUGAUGCAGCCAUGCCGCGUGUGUGAAGAAGGCCUUCGGGUUGUAAAGCACUUUCAGCGGGGAGGAAGGCGUUAAGGUUAAUAACCUUGGCGAUUGACGUUACCCGCAGAAGAAGCACCGGCUAACUCCGUGCCAGCAGCCGCGG
rnacentral:rRNA from 1 species